UAUACCAACACCUCUGUGCUAUAAAAGUUCCAGCAAAGGCCAGUGCAGUAACCAGACUGAAGAAGCUAAUAUGUCACGGAGAGAAACAAGAUUCAUGGCUGGCCAUGCAUGUCGCCGGCGAGUGGUGCCCAUCGGCGGCGAGAACCGGAGGAGGCCGGCAGAGGCAGCCUCUCUGCAAGCAUGGUUCCAGCCCAGGUCCUAACUUUGCUUCUGCAUGGGCCGCAUCGAAGAGUGGGUGAGCCGAAUCGAAUCGGCCGUAAUGUUAUGAUCCAACGGCCCGGGCACACCCAUCCCAGAUGGAAAAUGAAACACCGACCGGGCAGCCUGCCUGCGAGCUGCCGCCGCCGUCGGGGUUGGCGUCGCCGGACACAACACCGUCGUGUCGAAGUGUGACGUCUUCACCGGAGUUCGCCUUGCCAACGCCGUCCUUGCUUGGAGUUGCGGUCCGCAAGCCCGUCUCCACCCGAGGUAAGCGCCGCUGCGUGGAGUUGGAGGGCCUCGCCGAUGGUGACCACGUCCGCGCGGCCUCCACCACUUCCCUGUCCGGCACCGCCACGGCGAAGUGCGGCAUCAUCAACUCAAAGUGUUGCUCGGACAAAACGUCACUCAAGGUUUAUGAUUUCGGCUGUUCAUAUCGCUGGCACGAAGGGCAAAGGUUCGACUGCUGCAUUCCAGUCCAAUGUCAUGAGGGAGCAAGGCUACAAUGUGGGUUGCUAUUCUAGCCCACAUCUUCAAACAAUUCGUGAGAGGAUUUCUGUCGGAAAUAAUGUCAUACAAAGUACUGAAUUAGCAGCAUCUGUCAUAACAACGGUAGGAGGGAACAUCUGGCUGCUUUGGGUGGCUCCCUGCAAAGCAUAGCAGUAGCAAAGUCUGGAAUCAUCAAACAAGGACGUCCAGUUAUGUUGUGAUUGAUGGUCCAUUUUUGGAGGAUAUUGAGCAAAUUAUUCGCGAUAGAGCCUUCUUGAUGCAGUCUUCCGUCAUAUCUGCUAGUGAUCCCGGCGUCGAGAGCAUUACAAAAUGCAUAGAUUGGGAUAAUGGAAAACCUUAUCAAAGUUGUGACAUCAGCACCAAGAUUUCAAAUGAUAUACCAUUGGUGAAUUACAUUGUAAAUCUCAUCCGUUUCAUCUGAAACCGAUAGAUUCUCUUUUGUUCUCCAAAAUACUCUGAGUGAUUAGUGCAAACUGUCCGUUUCAGAUCAUGGAAUUGCAUGACGUGAAACUCCGGCUGCUCGGAGAUCAU